UACGUAGGGUGCAAGCGUUGUCCGGAAUUAUUGGGCGUAAAGAGCUCGUAGGCGGUUUGUCGCGUCUGCUGUGAAAACUCGGGGCUCAACCCCGAGCCUGCAGUCGAUACGGGCAGACUAGAGUGCUGUAGGGGAGACUGGAAGUUCCUGGUGUAGCGGUGAAAUGCGCAGAUAGUCAGGAGGAACACCGGUGGCGAAGGCGGGUCUCUGGGCCGACACUGACGCUGAGGAGCGAAAGCGUGGGGAGCGAACAGG
rnacentral:rRNA from 1 species